GGUCCUGCGCAAUGACGGCUCGUGAACCGUGUCAGGACCGGAAGGUAGCAGCACUAAGCGAAUCCCGGCAUGUGCCGCGGGGGUGCCU
rnacentral:SRP_RNA from 1 species